rnacentral:lncRNA from 1 species
GGAACGGGCUGCUGGGGAGAGGCUGAACGCCCUGCCUGCAGGGCAGCACGCAGCUUUGUGGGCUGCAAACAGAAAACCAAAAUGCUACUGGGAACGGCAGGGAAAACAGCAAGGGAUCGACAGCAAGGAAGGGCCAGGAUGAUGUUGCCAGCUACUGUGUUUAAAAAAGUCCAUAACUGCAUUAAAAAGUCCAUACCUGUGUUUUCCAAAGGGAGUGCAGACAGUACCGAAGGCACCGCCAAGCCCAGUGAGGUGCCGGUACCUCGCUGCCUGCUGUUGAACUGUAGGGCAGGGGCUCCUAAACCACCCGGCAGACCUUCCAACAUAACUUCUGCACCUGGAAACACCCAGACCCUGGAAGCGGUCCAGAGCCCAGGGAAGCUGAUGGAAUUGCUUGUGCUGGAUUUGGGAGCAACGGGCCAGCUUGGCGGUCCUUCGCUCUUUUGAUGUGCAGUAUUUGUUGUCGUUAGGAGGGACGUUUGAAAGAACAAGCUCAGUUCAGACAGAACCUGGCCUUAGUGUCGGUGAGGACACCUUCGGAGUAUUCCCUGUCGCUGGCCAAAAAACUCAUCACAGGCAAGGCAGCCUGAGCCCAUUGUGAGCAAAGCCGUGGGAGGCGCUCCCUGGGGCACGAGGAGCAGGGCCAGCAGCACCCGCAUGGCAGGGACGACAGGCGCACCAGUCCUGCUGUCGGUGGAGGAAGACUGGCGGUCAUGGGCGAUGCAAAGGGAACCCGGCUAUGGAUCUGCGGCAAUUUGAGUAAUAAGGCUAAUCAAAAGACCAUGGCACAAGCGAUUUGCCACAAUUCCAGAUGUAAUGAGGCUGCUUGUGCAAGGCGCCAGCCCAGCGUGCAACGAGGGGGAACGAAGCAUCCAGAGCCCUCUGCAUCUACAGCCUGGUUGCAACCACAAAUGAGCCCAGCGGGGUUUUUCCUCUCCGAGUUUCCCUGCUGCAGGGGACCCAGCUACCUUUUAUUUAGCAGCGAGAAGGAAGCCAUGGCUGAGCCUUCCUGCAUCAGGAAGGAGGGGUCAGGGUCAGCCCCACGCAGCUGUGCCUGUCCCAGUUUCCCUGGCAGAGACCUCAGCACCUCUGCCACCCUCAGCAGGUUUUUAAACUCAGCACUAGCAGCCUUAUGCUAGUAAAUGGGUUGAAUAGUGUAUGAAGAAAAAAAAAAAAAAAGGAUUGAUUUUUAAGAGGUUGCUGGAGAAGACUUUGAAGGAGGAGAAAAGGAAAAAAAAUAGUGGGCAUUUAUCCAAAUAAAUGCUGAACUUCCCAUUUUGUUUGCA